rnacentral:lncRNA from 1 species
CAAGGAGGAUGCUUUUCUGAGAAAUAUUCUAGAUGACUUGAUUGAAGGAGGCUCCACUGUGAUCUGAGCCAGAUAUGUUUACCCUAAGAGGACUCACGCUUAUCAUCCAGCACAAUGGUGUCCUCUUACUAGAAUUAGCAUCUGCUGGAUCACUGACUGCAUUUCCACAGAACACAGAACAAAGCGGUUAAGAUCCAGGGCAUUGAGCCACGCCUUAAAUCGAAGCAUUGUCCACCUUCUAACCCCAAGCAGACACCAAGAGGGAGCCAACAACAGGGAUCCUGAGAGGCAAAGGGAGUCCAAGGAGCUAUGGGGAGAACUUUCCAUCUUUGGGGAUGAGAAUGUGAAGCAUCAAUUUAUGUGAAAACUACUGCUUGAUUAAAGACAAGAUUUUUGAAAGCCAUCCUGUAAAACACCCUGUCCCACACAUUGUUAAAGAUCUGGUACCUGAAACCACAGUGCCGAAAGUAGUCAAGUACGACUAUGCCUGAAGCCCAGAAGUGUGGUUUUCCACAGUGAGGAAGAUUUGCAUUGUGAAGCAGAUGUCAGAUAGAAAAAGCAAAACAGAAAUAUGAAGACAUUGUAAGAAUUUUGGGGUGAUUUCUGACCUGCUCAGUUUCCAUCAGGGCAUCCCAGGGUUUUUUGCCUUCUCAAUUUUGAACAGCAUAGCAUUUAAAUGAUCAUUUUUGUUUCUCUCCGCUGCUCCCCAAUCUAAACAACAAAAGAAGGAAUUUAACCUCAUAUCCUCGCUCUGAAAUUAGCUCUAUUGUCAAAAGAUGACAGCUGUAUCCUGAUUUCAAGAAUUUCAUGUUGGAAUAAAACAGCAUUUUUGAAACCAUUGUGUUAUUUCAAACAGAUCUGUAAUGGUCCCUGAGCAAACCAUUUUCAGAAGACUUGGGUAAGUAAGAUAAAAAGACACCAUUUCUGAAGAGUUGCUUUUAUGGGCUAGGUCAGAGUGCUCUCUUUCCAUGUUGUUCAUUCCCAGUUGAAUUUCCUAAUAGUCUAUCUCCUCAGCUAACAGAUGCCCAGCCUCAUGUCGGAACCAGAUCGCGCCACUGCUGAGAUUCCAUCCAGUUCCUUUCUUAUUGAGCCGUUUCCCUAGCAGAUGGUGCAAUGCUGCAGGCAUACUCCUUCCUGUUAAUUACCAGCCUUUGCUACAGAUGGAAAUGUCAGUCAGCCUCACAGGUCCUGGUUCCUGCCAUUGCCUCAGUCCCUAGCCCUCUACCUAGGCAAGAUGCUGCCAACACACACCAUGUGUUU